UCUGGCAGCUAGCUCUCAGCAACUCCCAACACAUGUUUGCCCAUUGAAGCUAAGAAGAGCUGCACCCGGUGAGUACCUGGAUGGGAGACUACAUGGGAAUGCUAGGCUGCUGCCGGAA
ensembl:rRNA 5S_rRNA 5S ribosomal RNA